UCAUUUACAUAAACAGCAUCAUACUAGUUUUGUUCACAGUGACUGAGUUUACUCUUGCAACUCGUCAUAAUACCUAUUCAGCAUUGUUUGGAUUAGGAUUGGUUAUUGAAGCAUCACUGUUUCUUGGACUCAUCUUUAUUCCUAAGAUGAUUUGUUUAUAUCUUGAUCCUCAAGGAGAGAAAGUUUUCUCUCAAAGUGGAGCUACAGCUGCUCCAAGUAAUUCUCAUGCACUAACAAACAACAGUGUUGAUCAGAAGGAACCACCUGAAGAGAUAAUUUUAAAUUUACGAAAAAGAGUCAAAGAACUAGAAGGACAACUUAAUCAGAAUAAAUGAAAGAAAAGAGUCUUGUUCCGACGCUAUUUUAUUAAAGAAAAUACUAUUGCUAUUUUUAAAUUAAUCAACACAACAUGCUCAUAAUAGACUAACAUCCCAGUUAUAUAAAUGUUUGUAAAUUUUAAAACCAUUUUGUUUUAUUUGUAUUAUUUCUGGCCUCGAACUGAGUUGCCUCACCA